GUUCCUCUGAGCUCCACAAGAUGGCGAUCUCGCUUAUGCCGAGACAUGAAGCCUCUAUGGAAAAUGGGCAGGAAGUGAUGUCAGGUACAAACAGGAAGUGAUGUAGGGUAUAAAUAGGGAGUAGCUCGGAGACAUUGCUGGAACUGGCAGCAGAGGAGGGAAACCUUCAUAGAUGAAUGCAGCAAUGAGGAUGGCGGAGGACCGGAGUCAUAUGGCUGAGAAGAUACUAAACCUCACCCUGGAGAUCAUCUACCUGCUGACCGGAGAGAGAUUUCCUCUUGUGAAGUCAGGUGAUCAU